AUUGAACGCUGGCGGCAUGCCUUACACAUGCAAGUCGAACGGUAACAGGUCUUCGGAUGCUGACGAGUGGCGAACGGGUGAGUAAUACAUCGGAACGUGCCUAGUAGUGGGGGAUAACUACUCGAAAGAGUGGCUAAUACCGCAUGAGAUCUACGGAUGAAAGCAGGGGAUCGCAAGACCUUGUGCUACUAGAGCGGCCGAUGGCAGAUUAGGUAGUUGGUGGGAUAAAAGCUUACCAAGCCGACGAUCUGUAGCUGGUCUGAGAGGACGAUCAGCCACACUGGGGCUGAGACACGGCCCAGACUCCUACGGGAGGCAGCAGUGGGGAAUGUUGGACAACGGGCGAAAGCCUGAUCCAGCAAUGCCGCGUGCAGGAUGAAGGCCUUCGGGUUGUAAACUGCUUUUGUACGGAACGAAAAGCCCCGGGUUAAUACCCUGGGGUCAUGACGGUACCGUAAGAAUAAGCACCGGCUAACUACGUGCCAGCCGCCGCGGUAA
rnacentral:rRNA from 1 species